rnacentral:lncRNA from 1 species
UCCUCCUCCUUCUCCUUCUCUUCCUCCUCGUCCCGCACCUCGGCCGCGCCACCGCCCCCAGCCCGGGGAACAGCACGGAGCCGCCGCGGGCGGCCACACGGAACGACACUCAGUCGGGGUCGGAGCAUGAGUCCGGGCCGAGGCUGUCGGUGGGGUCGGGGCUGCCGGUGCUGAGGCGGGCGGUUUAUGUGCUGAGCGCUCUGUCAGCGCUGGCCGCGCUUUACUUCGUGCUGCGGGCGUUCCGGUUGAAGAAACCCCAGAGGAAGAAGUACGGGCUGCUCUCGAGCCAGGACGAGAGCAUGGAGCUGGGCUCCCUCGACAGUGACGAGGACACCGUGUUUGAAACCCGGAACCUGAGGCGAUGACUCGGGAUCAGCAGCACUGCCUGGAAUGGUGGAGGAUCCAGUCCCAGUGGAAUCUCCAGUGCUCAAGUUUUAUAUCUGCUUACAGUGACUUAAUUAACAGUUGGAGCCCUUCCAUAGCUGGGACAGGGGAGAGGGGACCAAACCUGUUUUCUUCACGUGCAUUCUUGGGGACAUUUCUGGGGAAGGAUGGGAGCUCUUCACUGCAUAGCUCUGUCUGUGCGCGGUGCUGGGAGCUGCCGCAGGAUGUGAACCAAGCGCUUGUUCCCUUUCAGGCUCAGGGGGCUGUUACCCCAAUUAGCACUAAUUGCUGUGGCCCGUGGUGCUGGACCAGCUGCAGCUGUGCUGUUCUCCCCUCAUCCCUGUUCCCUGCUCUGUGCCAUCCCCUCUUCCCAAGCUCUCACUGGGGACAGGCUCCGGCUGCCGCUGGCUGGGAUUCCAGUCACAAACACAAGCUGGCGGCAUGGAUCUGCUCGGAAUUUAUUUUAAACUCGAGGUAAAGUGCUCUUGAUGCUUUGGAUGCAAAUUUCCUUCCCUGGAAUGGGAGCUGUGGG